GGAAGAACUGUUGGCAAGGGGCUUGACAGGACUUACUGAAGAUUUGGAGAGUAUUCUAUGCUGUACAGAAGAUUUGGGACCAGCUGAUUGCGCUUAUACCGGCCAGUUUAGCGAGCAGAGCGGCGGACACCCCGGCUGAAAUCUGGAGGAAGACACACAGAGGAUGCAGAGGAGGAUCACAAAGGCGAGGAAAGAGGACCGGGUCGAGACA